CUUUUGUCUCGCCGCCACUGGGCCUUCUUCAUCCAGGAGACCAUUGGCUUCUGCGCAGUGAGUAAUGGGAUGUCACGUUGAUGAAUUCCGACCCUGGGUCCAGGAACUGAAGGUAAACCCACUAGGGGUUAAAUCUGUAUCUGCUAUCUGACCUUUUUUAAUUGGAAAGAAGAGGGGGCUGACCACCUCCUUAAGCUAAACGCUCUGUAGCUAGCCUAUUUAGCAUACGAUCUGUUUGGCUGAAUUCUGGUGUAAAUAUAUUGUC